rnacentral:rRNA from 1 species
AAUUCGCCCUUAGAGUUUGAUCAUGGCUCAGAUUGAACGCUGGCGGCAGGCCUAACACAUGCAAGUCGAACGGUAACAGGAAGCAGCUUGCUGCUUUGCUGACGAGUGGCGGACGGGUGAGUAAUGUCUGGGAAACUGCCUGAUGGAGGGGGAUAACUACUGGAAACGGUAGCUAAUACCGCAUAACGUCGCAAGACCAAAGAGGGGGACCUUCGGGCCUCUUGCCAUCGGAUGUGCCCAGAUGGGAUUAGCUAGUAGGUGGGGUAACGGCUCACCUAGGCGACGAUCCCUAGCUGGUCUGAGAGGAUGACCAGCCACACUGGAACUGAGACACGGUCCAGACUCCUACGGGAGGCAGCAGUGGGGAAUAUUGCACAAUGGGCGCAAGCCUGAUGCAGCCAUGCCGCGUGUAUGAAGAAGGCCUUCGGGUUGUAAAGUACUUUCAGCGGGGAGGAAGGCGAUAAGGUUAAUAACCUGUCGAUGACGUACGCGCAGA